rnacentral:snRNA from 1 species
GUGCUCACUUCAGCAGCACAUAUGCUAAAAUUGGAAUGACACAGAGAAGAUUAGCAGGGCCCCUGCAUAAGAAUGACACACAAUUUUAUAAAGCAUUCCAUAUUAAA